rnacentral:rRNA from 1 species
CUGGCGGCGGCCUAACACAUGCAAGUCGAGCGGUUGACGGGAGCUUGCUCCCUGAUUCAGCGGCGGACGGGUGAGUAAUGCCUAGGAAUCUGCCUAUUAGUGGGGGACAACGUUUCGAAAGGAACGCUAAUACCGCAUACGUCCUACGGGAGAAAGCAGGGGACCUUCGGGCCUUGCGCUAAUAGAUGAGCCUAGGUCGGAUUAGCUAGUUGGUGGGGUAAUGGCUCACCAAGGCGACGAUCCGUAACUGGUCUGAGAGGAUGAUCAGUCACACUGGAACUGAGACACGGUCCAGACUCCUACGGGAGGCAGCAGUGGGGAAUAUUGGACAAUGGGCGAAAGCCUGAUCCAGCCAUGCCGCGUGUGUGAAGAAGGUCUUCGGAUUGUAAAGCACUUUAAGUUGGGAGGAAGGGCAGUAAAUUAAUACUUUGCUGUUUUGACGUUACCGACAGAAUAAGCACCGGCUAACUCUGUGCCAGCAGCCGCGGUAAU